GUCCGGAUAUGUACGAUGUGGUAAAACUACCAACAAUCUCGUCAAAUUCGUCAGAUUUGUCGAGAGAUUUGUGCACAUGAAUGAAAUAGUUGUCACUUGACGUUUAACUAUAAACAAAAUCAAUCAACCGACAAAAUAGAUUAACAGUAUACUAUUCCCAGAAGAGAACCUCAUAUACAUUUUUUUUUAUUAAAAAGCACAAAUGAAUUCAGACAUAUCAGUGUUGGUACAUGUACUUGGAUGAUGCGGCC
rnacentral:lncRNA from 1 species